rnacentral:rRNA from 1 species
UACGUAGGGUGCGAGCGUUGUUCGGAAUUAUUGGGCGUAAAGGGUGCGUAGGCGGUUCCGCAAGUCCUGUGUGAAAUCUUCGGGCUCAACUCGAAGUCUGCACGGGAAACUGCGGGGCUUGAGUGUGGGAGAGGUGAGUGGAAUUCCUGGUGUAGCGGUGAAAUGCGCAGAUAUCAGGAGGAACACCAAUGGCGAAGGCAGCUCGCUGGGACGUGACUGACGCUGAGACGCGAAAGCGUGGGGAGCAAACAGG